CGUGACUUUAUUCCUGGCCUUGGAGAUGCUGAUUGGAAAUAGAACGGGAACAGAACUCUGUGAACUCUACUUUCUGCCGUCAUGAGGAUGGAGAGGAGAGAUAAGAAGUAAUUUCCUAAGAGACACUGCCAUUCCUAUUUUUAUCUCAUGCCUUUAAUGAUCACUGAAUGUUCCAGAGAACUUUGUCAUGAGUGGAAUAUUUUUGAAGCCCAGUAACUGCUGCUAUACAAUGAAAUGUGACAAUCCACAAAUACCACAAAACCCACAAACCACAAAUGAACCCAGACCAUCAUGCAAGCCAACCUCCAAUCCACGGACUCCAUUUACACCACCCGUGGUCACAGAAAGGCUACCAACAUCAUCAAAGACCCAUCACACCCCGGUAAUGAUCUGCUACAACCUCUUCCA